rnacentral:rRNA from 1 species
UACGUAGGGUGCGAGCGUUAAUCGGAAUUACUGGGCGUAAAGCGUGUGCAGGCGGUUUUGUAAGACAGACGUGAAAUCCCCGGGCUUAACCUGGGAACUGCGUUUGUGACUGCAAGACUAGAGUACGGCAGAGGGGGGUAGAAUUCCACGUGUAGCAGUGAAAUGCGUAGAUAUGUGGAGGAAUACCGAUGGCGAAGGCAGGUCACUGGGCAGUUACUGACACUGAGGCACGAAGGCUAGGGGAGCAAACGGG